rnacentral:lncRNA from 1 species
GGCAAGUCUACAAGUAUUCAUAUAUGCAUAGUGCUGAACCUUUCUGAUUAAUUCGCCAUGCUUGUGGUGGUGGAGAUCAUUUCUUUUGUUUUGUUUUGUCUAGUAAAACUGAAAUAUGGUAAACUACAAUAUUCCCCCCAAUCAAUGGUCACUGUACAACUUCGAGUAUAUUCCCACAAAAAGAAACUAAUAGCACCCAUAUAUGGUGGAAUGAUAUAAUUAUUGUAAAAUUCUGUAAAUUUUAAGCCCAUAAAAGAAGUUUGUUUUAGUUUUUUUUUUCUUUUUAAGUUUUGCCUGAUUCUUUGCUUGAUUUUGUUGCUAGCAAAGAUGUUUAGUCUUACUUAUAUUGGAACACGAUUUUAGAAUAUGUUGCACUGGUAUACGUACAACUUUCUGAUUUAUAGCGGAAUAUCUGGGCUAAGAGAGUCAAUGCAUUGAUUGGAUCACAGUAAAAAAAAAAUUACUUAUUUAGCAAAAAAAAAAAAUUACUUUACAGUGAUCACUGUAAUUUGCUUGGAAGAUAAAUAAACGUCUAAAGUUUGAUACCUGAAAAGCAUAAACUUAGACAUAAUAAAAUUUGUCCAACAUUAAAAAUCUAAAAGUAAACUUACCAAGGAGUGAGUUUUUUUUAUAAUAGAAAGAUGAGCUAAUCUAUGUUAAACCAUACAUGACAACUAAAAUUUUAAUUUUAUAACAAAUGAUCUCUUCAUCAUUAUCAUGUUAAUAGAAAAUUUAUAUCACACCGUGGUGAUUACUCAAGAGGGUCGC